rnacentral:rRNA from 1 species
UACGUAGGGUGCAGGCGUUGUCCGGAAUUAUUGGGCGUAAAGAGCUCGUAGGCGGUUUGUCGCGUCGAAUGUGAAAACCCGGGGCUCAACCCCGGGCCUGCAUUCGAUACGGGCAGACUAGAGUUCGGUAGGGGAGUCUGGAAUUCCUGGUGUAGCGGUGAAAUGCGCAGAUAUCAGGAGGAACACCGGUGGCGAAGGCGGGACUCUGGGCCGAUACUGACGCUGAGGCACGAAAGCCAGGGGAGCAAACGGG